rnacentral:lncRNA from 1 species
CCAUGGCAACGCGAGGAGGCUGCUGGGAAGGCACUGCCUUCAGGCCUGACAAGACCAGGCUCCGCCCUAAUCCAGCCAAGGCUCCGCCCAGAAGCCAAGAGACCUGAAACCUAUAGGGCACUUGACUGGGUGCGACCUGACUGACUGCCUACAGCUGAAUGGCCACAGAUGCCAUCAUUGCCUGAUAACCCAAGUGUGUCUGGCUGUCCGACUGAACACUGAGUUCACAGGAGGCUUUUGUCUGAGGUGAUCUAACUGCAGCUGACCAACCAGACCCUACCCACUCGUGACAAGCCGCAUCUGAUUGGUGUUAGCCACCUGUGCCUGGAUGGUGGCAGUUUACCGAUUGAGUUCAUCUAUGCCAACUGCCUGACCCCCUCCACUUCACCCCAGCUUUACGAGAUCAGAUGAGCUGACCACAGUUGGAUCUGAGUGCCCCAAUGGGCUUUGGAACUACGACCAGGCUACCCCUAUGGGUCUCUCCACAACACUGAGAUGGGUCAGUUGACCAAACCCUCAGCCCAGUUGGCAUGGCUGCUGAGUCUGCCUCUGAGUGAAUAUGUAUGUCAUGGACAGGACAUUCUGUGUGACUGGGCCUGCCCGAUAUCCUUCCAUAGCUACCUAUGUCUGGCCCAACUAGAUUCACAACAUCAGCAACACCUGCAUAAGGGCCAUGAUGUCUAACCACUCUAGCUGUGUCUGUCUCUUAUACAGUAGCCAUUCAGUAAGCAAUCCAGUCCAGUCCGAUUGCCUGGCUGGUCAGCUGCCUCAGGUUGAGUGGGCCCAUGACAUUCCUCUCCAUGACUCAUGACAGAUCCCUUUCGACACAGAUGUCCAUGAGGACUUCUGCAUGUUUUUUGUGCAGGGUCUGGGACCUGAACAUUUUUAAUUAUAAGACUCAACCUUGAGGACCAAAGCUAGUGUACCAACAGGGAAGGGGGCUUAGGAAAAGCCAGUGAUGGAGCAGGCAGCAGGAGUAGGAGUCCAGGCCCAGUGGUGGACAGCUGCAAGAAACAGCAGGGCUGGGGAAGAGACUAUAAGGUGUCCAGACCUCCUACCUCAGGAAUCUAAUUCUAUACCAAAGUCAAAAUCUGGAGGAGCUGGCUUGGUGUGUGAGUGCCUCCAGUAAACAUCUGACCGUCUGUCUUUUGUUCCUUCGGAUAUGGGAAAUCUCUGUGCCCUGCUUUGCAGAAGGGGCAUCCUGUAGUCCUCCCAAAUUUAGAUCUUCCCUGUCAUGUCUAUGUGAGGCUGCCAGGCUGAUCUCCAGGCUUCAUCUCCAGGAAGACGCUCUUUGCUGUAAGAGGGGAGGAAGUACUGGCUAGAGAGUUUUUUUUUUUUAAGUAAGUGUAUCGAUUGCAUGGGUAUGCUAUGAAUUAUAUCUAUUGCUAUUAAUGCUAAUAAAAUGAGAGCAUUGGACAACCUAUCUCAGCGGAACUCUAGCAUGCUAAGAUGUUGUUGUCUCUCCAUUACUAAGAGGGGCCUGGCUGCCUCACUGACUUCAUUAUAAGCCAGA